CGCAAUCGAGGACCUGACGCCCAGGCCGUGGCUGGGCUUCACGCGCUGGCGUCCUCCCAUCCCGGGGCUGCCGUGCGCCCCGCUUUUGGUUGGUCGACCUGAGUGGCUUUGAAGGGAACUUGGAGGUCCAGGCACAGAAGACCACAUAUGUAUGAGAUCACAAGCAAAGAGGCAGAGAGAGAGGGGGAAGCUGAGCGGAGAGCCCCAUGCGGGGCUGGAUCUGAGGACCCUGAGACCAUGUUCAAGCCAAAGGCAGAGGCUCAACCCACUGAGCCACCCAGGAGGGUCAGUCAUCUAGUUUGCAUACUGCCGGAAACAGAAAUUUCAUCUUAG
rnacentral:lncRNA from 1 species